UACGUAGGGGGCAAGCGUUGUCCGGAAUUAUUGGGCGUAAAGAGCGUGUAGGCGGCUAGGUAGGUCCGUUGUGAAAACUCGAGGCUCAACCUCGAGACGUCGAUGGAAACCAUCUAGCUAGAGUCCGGAAGAGGAGUGUGGAAUUCCUGGUGUAGCGGUGAAAUGCGCAGAUAUCAGGAGGAACACCAAUGGCGAAGGCAGCACUCUGGGACGUGACUGACGCUGAGACGCGAAAGCGUGGGGAGCAAACAGG
rnacentral:rRNA from 1 species